CUGGCAAUGAUAGAUAUCAGUUAUUGCAAAUUGGCAUCAGGAAUUAUUGGAGUCAACCAGCUUCCAAAGCUCAAGGAGAUCUCACUUGGUUCCUGUGGUCGAGUGGCGAAGCUUGCUCUGCUGCAAAGUGAAGUGGACGCACACCCCAACAGUCCCGUGCUGCGACUGUCCGAGGAACGGAGGAGCCACCACGACCUGGGGGGCAUCCUCGUCCAAUUGGGAGAAGCAACGGGGGAAUCCUCAUCUCUCCGUCCCGAGCCUGCAGCUGCAGGAGAGAGCUCACGGUCCCAAGCGGUGGGCAUGGCGACGGCAAACAUCAGCCAAGAUGAUCUGCUUUACACUUACAACUCGUGCUGACUGAAUCGGAGCAAGCCUCCUGCCAGCUCCAGCAUGUAACACUACUGGUACAGCUCAAAUAUUGCACUAUUUCCUUUUCUUGGUUUGGCUCGAUUUCUAGCUGCCUUGGUCUUUUCAGUUUGUGCUCACGCAUUUUAAAGCUGUGCAUGCUCAUAUAUAACGCAAGCAUGAUCUCAGUCACACUGUAUUCAGUUUGUGAACACAUAUAUUUUGCAUAUACCCCUGUUUGUAGCAAGACUUCCUUAAUUUUCUACCUGCUACAAGACGGGACCCAACUUCAAGAGAGGCCAGAUGCUUUCUCCAUACGGCCGAACAUCACGGUUGCAUUUCCUUCUAAAAAUCAGUAUGAGUACUGGAGCAAGCAACGGAGGGAUCAUCUCCACUUCCAUGGCCUACAGCAGCGGGAGAGAGCUCGUCGCAGUUGGACAUCCUCCUGUUGCGAACGAAGAGCAUUACGAGGGAUCUGAAGUGAAGAUGGAAACUGAGGGAUCCCUUUGGAGUUCGCAAUGGCUCGACAAUCCAUGCGGAUCUGAAGUGUGUCACCUAUGAAGGGAUCAUACUGAUAAAUGGGUAGAAGAAAAGGAAGAUUAGAGGGACUUAUAGUUGUAAUAUCCUACGCGAAGACGCCAGACGCCCCCGCUCCCCGCGUCGCCCCCGCUCGGGCGACUCGGACGGGAUCUAAAACCCUAGCCGCCGGGGGUCCCCAUCCGUCCUCCCCUCCCUCCGCCGCCGCCGAAGGACGCCACCGGCUAGAGCCCGGGGCUGAUGGCGGUGGCGGGGGUCUUCCCUCUUGCCUGCGCCGUGCGGGCGGUGUGGAGCCCCGCGGCGUGGGUGGCUCGACCGAUCUGGCCUGGCGGCGCGGCGGGCCUGCCUUCCGGCGGCGGCUGCCUCGGCCAAGGGCGGCGAUGGUAGGGUGUGGCAGUCGGCCUUUCCUCGGGCUGCGUGGCAGCGUUCGGCGGCGGCGGCCGGGUCUGCGGCGUCACAUCAUCUGACCUCGGAUCGGCGGUGGCGGCAUGGAGGACCUGGUGGUUGGGUCGGCACCAUGUGGGUUGUGCCCUCCGGACAGAUCUGAUCUGGCCGGUGCGGCCUGCUCCAUGUGCGGCGGCUUAGAUCGGUGGCGGUACUUCAUCCUUCACAUUGAUGACGGCGGAUCUCGGCGGCGUGGUGCAGUGGAGACUCGGCGCCCGAUGCGCGGUGGUGGACUCGCGCAGGUGGAGGUAGUUUUCUGGCGUCAGGGUGGCGUCGAUGGCGGAGUGGCCUGACAAGGUAGAAGCCUCAAUAUCUGCUCUGAAGACGAACCUGUGGAAGAUGGCGACGACGACACAUGUGAGUGCGUCAGACCAGUUUAUGCCCCAGACCCGGUAUAUGGCUCGGCUGUGGCUUCUGGCUUUUGAUAAUAGGCUUAGGUGAGUAGACCGGGUACGUGGCCCAGGUAGCACCCCUUCAUCAUAUGGAUAUGAGUAGUGGCAUAUGUUGCCAAGAUGGCGGAUUCAGGCAUAUUGUUGUAAUACUUUGUA